UCGGGAAUUUUGGGCAAUGGGCGCAAGCCUGAUCCAGCCAUGCCGCGUGAGUGAUGAAGGCCUUAGGGUUGUAAAGCUCUUUUGCCGGGGACGAUAAUGACGGUACCCGGAGAAUAAGUCCCGGCUAACUUCGUGCCAGCAGCCGCGGUAAUACGAAGGGGACUAGCGUUGUUCGGAAUCACUGGGCGUAAAGCGCACGUAGGCGGAUUUGUAAGUCAGGGGUGAAAUCCCGGGGCUCAACCUCGGAACUGCCUUUGAUACUGCGGAUCUCGAGUCCGAUAGAGGUGAGUGGAAUUCCUAGUGUAGAGGUGAAAUUCGUAGAUAUUAGGAAGAACACCGGUGGCGAAGGCGGCUCACUGGAUCGGUACUGACGCUGAGGUGCGAAAGCGUGGGGAGCAAACAGGAUUAGAUACCCGUGUAGUCCCUGAGCGGGCUGGCAAGGCGCAU
rnacentral:rRNA from 1 species